rnacentral:lncRNA from 1 species
AUAAAAGUUGUCCUCCUAGGCAAAGCCUACUCCCUUAGGUUAGGAAAUGGACUUCACUAGCUGACAGGCUGGAACAGAGGCUGGCNNNNNNNNNNAGGUUAGGAAAUGGACUUCACUAGCUGACAGGCUGGAACAGAGGCUGGCGCGGGGGGGGGAGUAGGCGGGCGGUGGAACUCUUUCAAAAGGAGGAGUUUGAUCCUCUGGCUCAGAAGGCUUGUUACAACGCUGAAGCCUUAUUUGAUUAUAAGGAAGAUUUUGUCCCCAACUUUUUGGAUUAACGGGCAUUUUCGGGGACUAGCCCUUUCCUCCCUUCCCGUUGCUAAUUCAAUCGCCUUGGUUUUUCCAAGAAAGGGGUGAUAGACCAAAACUAGAAUAAUAGUGUAGAUGGACCCAACCUUACCUUCCAUCCACUCCGGCUUAGCUUUCAACCGGUCCUCCUCAUUAUAGGUUAAAAACGUCUAGUCGACAUAAUGCUUGGCGUUUACCUGAUGGUUCCCN